UGUGUUGUAUUAACAGGAGAGGCUAACCUGUCGGCUGUGUUGUCGAUGCCUCGAGAGAAAAAAGGAA